rnacentral:tRNA from 1 species
GCACUAGUGGUUCAGUGGUAGAAUUCUUGCCUUCCAUGCAGGAGACCCAGGUUUGGUUUCUGGCCAAUCCA